AUCCAUUCAUAGUUAAGAAGUGUGAUGGAUGACUGGGUGUUCAUGUACUUGUGUGAGAUGUCCCUCCCACAAACCUUGUUACAACUUCGGUACAUUACCAGUCUAAUG